UACGUAGGGGGCAAGCGUUGUCCGGAUUUAUUGGGCGUAAAGAGCGUGUAGGCGGCCAUGCAGGUCAGCUGUGAAAACUCGAGGCUCAACCUCGAGACGUCGGUUGAAACCGUAUGGCUAGAGUCCGGAAGAGGAGAGUGGAAUUCCCAGUGUAGAGGUGAAAUUCGUAGAUAUUGGGAAGAACACCGGUGGCGAAGGCGGCUCUCUGGACCGAGACUGACGCUGAGGCGCGAAAGCGUGGGGAGCAAACAGG
rnacentral:rRNA from 1 species